CCUCCACCGUCAGAGCCUUCUUUUCCCAUACCCUACUUUGAUUGCUUUUAGAAUCAAAGUGGAGAAUCCUCAAGGAUGGUCGUGGCAAGACCUGUUCGACGACAUGACUCGCCUCGCCUCGUCUGUAGCAGCAUCAACCGCCAUGCUCGCGGCUUCAACUCCGGCCGGUUCUAGAGCAAGCGGUAGAAUAUCGGUUGAGCACAUGGAGAUCAUCGAAGAAGGGUCGACCGUGCACGAUGAUAAGAAAGAUACUGCGAAGCAAGAUAUUGAAGCUCAAAACAUUGAAAAACCAAUGGUUGUUUAUAAGUUCAAGGAACAUAAACCAGCUCAAUCAUGAAGAAAUAUGACAAGAUCAGUUCAAGGAAUGCUUCGAAAUCAUACAUGAACUUGGUGGAUAGUUCUUAUCUGGGUAGCUCCGAAAAGGUUUCGAAACUUAUGGCAAGGGCGACUUUAUUUUGUCCUUCCUUUUUGCAGAAAACUUACGGGAAGGAGAGGACUGAUAUUGAGCAUCUGACGGUGGACAUGGGAAAAAGAAGGUAGAAGUGUGGUGGGGUUGGGGGAAGAGGGGUAGUUCUGGUAUGUUAUUUAUUUAUUUAUUUUAAUUAAUUUUUAUUUAUUCAGAUAAAAAAAGAAAAACUAAAGGAAGACGUGACGUUAUGUAUUUUGAUUGGCCAUUGAUUUUUUUUAUUUUAAUAGAGUUAACGAUUU